GACGAACGCUGGCGGCGUGCUUAACACAUGCAAGUCGAACGGAAAGGCACUGCUUUUGUGGGGUGCUCGAGUGGCGAACGGGUGAGUAACACGUGAGUAACCUGCCCUUGACUUUGGGAUAACUUCAGGUAACUGGGGCUAAUACCGGAUAGGAUCUCCUGUACCAUGGAGGGGGGGGGAAAGUUUCUGCGGUUGGGGAUGGACUCGCGGCUGAUCAGCUUGCUGGUGGGGUAGUGGCUUACCAAGUCUUUGACGGGUAGGCGGCCGGAGAGGGUGACCGGCCACAUUGGGCCUGAGGUACGGCCCAGACUCCUACGGUAGGCAGCGGUGGGGAAUAUUGCACAGUGGGCGGACGCCUGAUGCGGCAGCGCCGCGUGCGUGAUGACGGCCUUCGGGUUGUGAACCGCUUUCGCCUGUGACGAAGCGUGAGUGACGGUAAUGGGUAAAGAAGCACCGGCUAACUACGUG
rnacentral:rRNA from 1 species